rnacentral:rRNA from 1 species
UACGUAGGUGGCAAGCGUUGUCCGGAUUUACUGGGCGUAAAGAGCGCGCAGGCGGUCGUUCAAGUCGCGUGUGAAAGCCCCCGGCUCAACUGGGGAGGGUCACGCGAUACUGAUCGACUCGAAGGCAGGAGAGGGAAGUGGAAUUCCCGGUGUAGUGGUGAAAUGCGUAGAUAUCAGGAGGAACACCUAUAGCGAAGGCAGCUUGCUGGGACGUUACUGACGCUAAGGCGCGAAAGCGUGGGGAGCGAACAGG